GAGUAAUGUCUGGGAAACUGCCUGAUGGAGGGGGAUAACUACUGGAAACGGUGGCUAAUACCGCAUAACGUCGCAAGACCAAAGAGGGGGACCUUCGGGCCUCUUGCCAUCAGAUGUGCCCAGAUGGGAUUAGCUUGUUGGUGAGGUAACGGCUCACCAAGGCGACGAUCCCUAGCUGGUCUGAGAGGAUGACCAGCCACACUGGAACUGAGACACGGUCCAGACUCCUACGGGAGGCAGCAGUGGGGAAUAUUGCACAAUGGGCGCAAGCCUGAUGCAGCCAUGCCGCGUGUAUGAAGAAGGCCUUCGGGUUGUAAAGUACUUUCAGCGGGGAGGAAGGUGUUGUGGUUAAUAACCGCAGCAAUUGACGUUACCCGCAGAAGAAGCACCGGCUAACUCCGUGCCAGCAGCCGCGGUAAUACGGAGGGUGCAAGCGUUAAUCGGAAUUACUGGGCGUAAAGCGCACGCAGGCGGUCUGUCAAGUCGGAUGUGAAAUCCCCGGGCUCAACCUGGGAACUGCAUUCGAAA
rnacentral:rRNA from 2 species